UACAGAGGGGGCAAGCGUUAUUCGGAAUUAUUGGGCGUAAAGGGCGCGUAGGCGGUUCCUCAAGUCGGAUGUGUAAUCCCCGGGCUCAACCUGGGAACUGCAUCCGAGACUGUGGGGCUGGAGUGCUGGAGAGGGUGGUGGAAUUCCACGUGUAGCGGUGAAAUGCGUAGAGAUGUGGAGGAACACCAGUGGCGAAGGCGGCCACCUGGACAGUAACUGACGCUGAGGCGCGAAAGUGUGGGGAG
rnacentral:rRNA from 1 species